GAUGAACGCUGGCGGCGUGCCUAAUACAUGCAAGUCGAGCGAACAGACGAGGAGCUUGCUCCUCUGACGUUAGCGGCGGACGGGUGAGUAACACGUGGAUAACCUACCUAUAAUACUGGGAUAACUUCGGGAAACCGGAGCUAAUACCGGAUAAUAUAUUGAACCGCAUGGUUCAAUAGUGAAAGACGGUUUUGCUGUCACUUAUAGAUGGAUCCGCGUCGCAUUAGCUAGUUGGUAAGGUAACGGCUUACCAAGGCAACGAUGCGUAGCCGACCUGAGAGGAUGAUCGGCCACACUGGAACUGAGACACGGUCCAGACUCCUACGGGAGGCAGCAGUAGGGAAUCUUCCGCAAUGGGCGAAAGCCUGACGGAGCAACGCCGCGUGAGUGAUGAAGGUCUUCGGAUCGUAAAACUCUGUUAUUAGGGAAGAAAAAAUGUGUAAGUAACUAUGGACGUCUUGACGGUACCUAAUCAGAAAGCCACGGCUAACUACGUG
rnacentral:rRNA from 1 species